UAAGUCAAUGAGGACCUGCUUCAAGUUUGAGAGACAGACUGUGAUUGUCCAAUCAGGAUUCAGCUCGGUAGAGGUGGGCUGAGCACUAAAAAAAACUGGGAGAAGAAAAAAAGAGCAUCAUGCUAUGACAUUUUCGCACGCGGAGACGAAUGAUAUCUAAAAAUAGACAGAUUAAUGUUGCUUAACAAGGCUGAAUCCCGUCUUAAGUUUCAGUUAACUACUUUGAAGUCUGGACCAGAGUUUUCAUCGUGUUGUUUCCGUUCACACGACGGGAUUGAUCAUCACCGAACAGCAGGACUGGAAAGUGUUCGGGACACGGCUUCCACAUGAUUGACGGACCACAACAAAGAGUUCCCUUGUUUGCUUUUCUCCAACGUGAAUCGUGAUCUCCUACUAGUGUUCCUGUCUUCUUCAUCAUUGUCAUCCCGGCACGGAGGUUUUCUGCCGGGGGAGGGAAAAGUCAUCGCGUUGCUAAGUGAGAAAUGGUCGCUGUCAUCACGUUGCUGCAUGAGAAUUGCAACGAUUCGUGAGUAACGUGUUUCAGGUCUGAUUCCACUUACUAUUACUAGGAAGUUGAGAUACUAAAAGUGCACCAACGGUAAUGGGCCCCAACGAGUGACACAUACCUAGGUAUUUCAGUAUUUGUGACUUUUCUUUUGAUCUGAUGAAACUGUUGAUUCGUUUUGAUUCCCUGAAUGCUGAUACAGUUCAUUUAAUUUGAGUCCAGUUGGUUUGUGAAUUGUUCAAAGGAACUAAACAAAGGGUUUAUUCAUGUCUAAGUGAUUCAACUGUCCUGAUAUUGGAUUCAGUUAGCUUUUAAGAGUCAAAUUAACUGUAUAAUUUCCUAAUUUCUGGUAAAUUCCAAAUUAGUGUUUUUUUUUGUACGUGUAUUCUGAAUGUCAAUGGAAUAACAGCUGAAUAUUGAAACUGUUGAAGCAAGGUUCUUGUACAUUGCAAGGUAAAGGUUUAUUUGAUUUGUGUUAAGGAAAGAAGCAAGACAGUAACUUCAUUUGGGUGAAUAACCUUUAUUUCAUAUUUCAUAUACAACAACAGAAAGGGUUUCUUUUAUUUUUUUUUCAUUGAUUAUUUUAUAUGCUUUAUUUUAGUAGUUGUUAAUAAAUACUUGUUGUUAAAAUACAUAAUCGAGUUACAAGGCAAAACUUAGUGUGAAUGUGUGCAUGUGGGCGUGUUUGUAUUUGAGUUGUAAAAUUUUUACCAGAUGUUCCAUCUACAGUACAUAAAGGUGCACUCAGUAAUUCUUUUCUUAUUUAAAAAGUUGUACACCAAAAUAAAUUAAUGGUAAUGUUGUAACAUCUGUAAGAUCAUGAUCACUCACAUGAGAUGAAGAUUCCAGUCACAAAAUCUGUGAAUUUCUCUUGCUUACACUUUGGUACACUGUUGGCCCACAGAAAACCUCACUUUUCACAUGGCACUUGGAUGGGAGAAUAAUAAUGGUAGCCAAGUUGUAGGAUUGUUCCAAACUGAAUUUCCAAUCAAAUAAAAUUACCACUAUAUUUAAGCCCCACACCUUUCAGCCCCCCAAAGCUCUCACAGUGGAGGGCAAAGUCUUUGAAGGGAAUAGGGUAUAGUGAUAAUCACUUCUGAAUAGAUUUUUAUUUUGAUAAACACAAUGGUACAUUUAGAUUAUAGUGGUUUUGACAGGUAUUUUUUAAUUAGUUGAUGCAGGGACAUUUGCAAUCAAAACUUUUAAAUGUGUACACUGCAUUGCAACCCUCUACACAUUGGAGAUCAUUUUAUUUACAUUUUAAAAAUUCUGCAUUCUAGCAAUUAAUAUGUCACGAAAUUGCAUAUACAGUAUAAUAAUAACACGAGAUGUCACUGUGUAAAAUGUCAUGCCAGCAACAGAUUUUCAACUAAAUAUUCACAAGAAUCUAAAAAUUAAAACAGAAGUACACAUCUAACAUUUAACUUGUACUAUGAAAAAAUAAAAUAAAUGCAUUAGCUGUCCAUUGUGAUCUUACCUCAGUGCAGUCAAAAAACUAUUACUGUUUUAUACUAAUACAACUAGGUUAACCUUAGGUUUAUGGAGCAGGGCUCUGCAUGGGUUUUAACAAACCCAUCCAUAGAUGCUGUAGGACUCAAUUUGUUAAAUUCUUCAAUAUUUUAAAUGCUUGAUAUAGUUAAAAUACACCAUAAUGUAUACUACAUAAUGUACUGUAUUAUUGCCCUUUUAACUACAUGCACAUUUAUACAUUUAUUUCACAUUUUGUUACAUGCUGGUUUUUGUAUGCAUAAUUUGUAGUAUUUACAAGUUUUUGCACUGAGUUUACACUGAUAUGUAUAACAAGCACUACAUUGGUAUACUGUCUCUUUAGAAACAGCGGUUGCUCAGUGAACGUGUUUUGGUUGAGCAGCUUCUUUUCCACAUCCGUUCAAUGUGUAAUUAGAUUUAAUCUGACUGUAAAAACAGAAAGAAUGUUAAAAUAGACUUAAAUCAAUUAAAAUGUAUUGCGUGGAUAUCAACUUAAAAAAAAAAAUUGUAAUAACAAUUCAAUCUAACAGAUAAUUGACUUGGGGGGACCCUAAAAGAAAAUUGGCCCCCAGGGCCCUUACUAGUCAUAAUCUGCCCCUGGAUAUAGACACUCUUUCAGAAAUGAUUAUUGAUUUUUCAGAGACAAAAUUAAACAUUUGUGCAUGCACACAAACAUGCAUACUCUCAAAUUGUAUAAACAGUAAUAGGCUAAUAAAAAUAUUUAAUAUUUUGUCAUUUGUACAAAAAUGUGCCAUGGCAACCAUAGUUUCAGCCAAAAAUAGACAUAGUUGAAAGAAUAACUAGUUACCAUGGUAAAAGGUUAAUACAUUUGUGAAUAAUAACAUAAUAACAGAAUAAACAGAAUAACUAUCAGGGGCAUGGCCAGAAGGGUGGCACAGGGUCCAGCUUCCCCCCAGGACAACGUUCCUGCUCUUUUUGUCUGAAAAGUAGAAAAACAUGGUUCUGUUCAUUGUGCACACUGUAAAUGCAAUGACAUUUAAAAAAGUUCCUAAAAAAUAAAGAAAUGCAAUAAUAUAUUAGAGACCCCUAUCUAUAAAAAAAUCAGAAAUGGGAAAAUGCAUUGGUGCAAUUCCAUGGAGGUACCAUAUGGCAACACAGAAUUUUCUUUCAUUGUGGUGCAGUGUUGCCACAUGGCAACAUUCCUAUCUUCUCAAUUUUCUGUAAAACUAUGUUAGAUACAGUUAAUCACUUAACCAUUUAUCAAAGAUGCAGAAAAAAGUCUGGAUGUAGAAGAAACAAGCGCUUUAAACACUGCCCUUUAAUAACCAAAUGAU